rnacentral:rRNA from 1 species
AUUGAACGCUGGCGGCAGGCCUAACACAUGCCAGUCGAGCGGAUGAAGGGAGCUUGCUCCUGGAUUCAGCGGCGGACGGGUGAGUAAUGCCUAGGAAUCUGCCUGGUAGUGGGGGAUAACGUCCGGAAACGGGCGCUAAUACCGCAUACGUCCUGAGGGAGAAAGUGGGGGAUCUUCGGACCUCACGCUAUCAGAUGAGCCUAGGUCGGAUUAGCUAGUUGGUGGGGUAAGGGCCUACCAAGGCGACGAUCCGUAACUGGUCUGAGAGGAUGAUCAGUCACACUGGAACUGAGACACGGUCCAGACUCCUACGGGAGGCAGCAGUGGGGAAUAUUGGACAAUGUGCGAAAGCCUGAUCCAGCCAUGCCGCGUGUGUGAAGAAGGUCUUCGGAUUGUAAAGCACUUUAAGUUGGGAGGAAGGGCAGUAAGUUAAUACCUUGCUGUUUUGACGUUACCAACAGAAUAAGCACCGGCUAACUUCGUG